rnacentral:tRNA from 1 species
ACCUGGCUGGCUCAGUCAGCAGAGCAUGUGACUCUUGAUCUCGGUUAGGGUUGUGAGUUCGAGCCCCACACCGGGUG